AAUCAUAGAAUUUCAAGAAUUUGAAAGAGAAGAGUAAAUUACUUACCUUAAAUCCAGAAUUGAAAAACUACAUCAGACUUAAACAAAUUUAAGUCUAUGAUUCAACAUAAUAGUUUCCUAGUAAUAAGAUCAAAUCAAAUCACAGAGAGCAACCAUACAUCCUUAGGCAGAACUUUUAUUUAAGAAGCAUCAAGUUAGCCCUUGUAAUCCUAAGAUAUGGUGUUUAAGUGAAGGACAGAAACUUAAGUAUAAAAUAAAAAAUCCACGCAUACACAAAGUUAUUACUUAUUUGGUUAAGCCUAAGUAAUAGUAUCUAUUUGACACAAUACUCUAAACAAGUCCACACAUAUAAUAAUCCCACAUACAGAUUAUCAUAGUAUCUAUUUGACACAAUAUUCUAAACAAGUUCACACAUAUAAUAAUCCUACAUACAGAUUAUCUAGUGCAUAAAAAUUCUGAUACAAAAUAGAGUUAAG
rnacentral:lncRNA from 1 species